rnacentral:rRNA from 1 species
UACGAAGGGGGCGAGCGUUGUUCGGAUUUACUGGGCGUAAAGGGCGCGUAGGCGGCCCUCCUUGUCGCGUGUGAAAGCCCCGGGCUCAACUGGGGAGGGUCACUUGAUACUGAUCGACUCGAAGGCAGGAGAGGGAAGCGGAAUUCCCGGUGUAGUGGUGAAAUGCGUAGAUAUCGGGAGGAACACCAGUGGCGAAGGCGGCUUCCUGGCCUGUUCUUGACGCUGAGGCGCGAAAGCUAGGGGAGCAAACGGG